rnacentral:rRNA from 1 species
AGCGAACGCUGGCGGCAGGCCUAACACAUGCAAGUCGAACGGACCUUUCGGGGUUAGUGGCGGACGGGUGAGUAACACGUGGGAACGUGCCUUUAGGUUCGGAAUAGCUCCUGGAAACGGGUGGUAAUGCCGAAUGUGCCCUUCGGGGAAAAGAUUUAUCGCCUUUAGAGCGGCCCGCGUCUGAUUAGCUAGUUGGUGAGGUAAAGGCUCACCAAGGCGACGAUCAGUAGCUGGUCUGAGAGGAUGACCAGCCACAUUGGGACUGAGACACGGCCCAAACUCCUACGGGAGGCAGCAGUGGGGAAUCUUGCGCAAUGGGCGAAAGCCUGACGCAGCCAUGCCGCGUGGAUGAUGAAGGUCUUAGGAUUGUAAAAUCCUUUCACCGGUGAAGAUAAUGACUGUAGCCGGAGAAGAAGCCCCGGCUAACUUCGUGCCAGCAGCCGCCGUAAAAC